UACCAGAUGCAAAUCAGAAUACAGGCAGUCUGAACAAAAGUGGUGCUUGCGAGCAACCUCUAGGAUCAGCACUGAUGUUGCACAAAACGCCAACAUUCACUACAGAAAAGUCUCUACCAUUAUCGCAGGAAUGCAGAAGUCCAUCAUCCCAUGUCGCUGAUUAAAGGAGACUGGCAUCCAGACUGAACUUCACCUUUGAUGAGAACUGAAUUUGUAUGCAGAUUUGCUCCCUCCCCACAGCCCAGAAUAACCAGCACUGCAUGUUCUGCUGGAUAAUAAGCAGAGGUAUGAGAAUACUUUAAGUUCUUAUUGCAUUAAAAGUUUUAAGACUGGAUCAGCUCAACUGUACUGAAUACUGACAGCAUUA